rnacentral:rRNA from 1 species
UACAGAGGUCUCAAGCGUUGUUCGGAUUCAUUGGGCGUAAAGGGUGCGUAGGCGGCGCGGUAAGUCGGGUGUGAAAUCUCGGAGCUUAACUCCGAAACUGCAUUCGAUACUGCCGUGCUUGAGGACUGGAGAGGAGACUGGAAUUUACGGGUGUAGCGGUGAAAUGCGUAGAUAUCAGGAAGAACACCCGUGGCGAAGGCGGCUCUCUGGGACGGUACUGACGCUGAGACGCGAAAGCGUGGGGAGCGAACAGG